rnacentral:lncRNA from 1 species
UGCGUUAUGCUACUACGAUUUCAGCCGAAGAGAGUGCGAAAUCUCGCAUGUAAUUCGUUGUGAGCAUCUUAGUGUCCGCUGAUAUGGGGAUAGAAAAUUCGUAAAUGACUAGAUUGCCGACUUAACUGGCGCGGCAUGCGAUAAAGCGAUCGUGUGUGUACAUGUAUCCAUAUAUACUAUCAUCAUAUUAAAUAUAUAUAUUAAAAAAAUAGUGACAGCGAGAGACAAAAUCACGGAUGGGAUAAGAGUAUUUCGUGUAGAUUGUGAAAAAAAACGCAACGCAAAAAAUUUUCCUAAACGAAGCCGACGAAAACGCUUACAUGUAUAUACAACAACGAUUACGGACGUAGAGUCUAGAAAAACAGUGAGAUGAUAUUUACAUUCAUUGGCAGUAUUGUUCCCGAUUCGUGCGAGUCAAGGGCGUGGAGAUCUUGAGGCGGAUUCGAGUCUCGCUCGUCCGUCUCCUAAUUCGCAUCGUUCGUUCUCAUACCCGGCGUGACGCGACUUCUCACUACGUUGCUCUUUAAUUAGGCGAAAAGAAGAUUCUACACUAGAGAGCAUCAAUAUACAGUGUGAGAUAUCUACGAGACACCGUACGGAGGUCUUUACUUCGAUAUAAAUAGGACACUCGCGUAAUUGCACGCGCAUUAUACGCGAAUGUGUGAGAGCAGGGGGGAAAAAAGUAAUCGACGCGCGUGGUCUAUUACCACGUUUUUGUCCUCCUUUGCUCCCAUUUUUUUUUCUUUUUCUCUAUUUCUCACUUUCUUUCGUUCCAUUUUUCAUUCUCUCUUUCCCUGUCGCACGCAGAAAUAGUAAAUUGGCACAUCAGUGCGCGAUGUCGAGCGUCGCGAGAUGCGUAAAUAUGUCACGAGGAAAAAUCUAGAUAAAUUUCCAACGAAAUCUUCUAUCAUUCGAUUCUCGCUAUAAAAAGAAUGCGCGUACUAAUUAUAUGAGAGAUACAUAUAGCUAUGUCGAAUAAAUAAAUAUAUAUAUAUGUGUGUGUGUGUGUGUGUGUAUGUGUAUGUAUGUGUGUAUGAUAAUAUAUAAUAGAGUCGGAAGAGAUGAAGGGAAACUUGAUGCCGUAUCGUGUUCGCAUUAUUAUUUCAGAACUCGAAUCGUCAGAUUGCACGAGUCCGAUAAUGCAAGGCGAGUAUGGACAUACGUCAAUGUGUCCCUGGAAUACAAGCCUCUUCUCCGCAGUAUAUCCGGAUCGAGAUAAAAUUAAAUGAUUGAAUGUAAAUUGAAGUAACACAUUCACUUUCGAUGCAUUAACGUUCGCGUAAGUGACACCCGACAGUCAGACCGGUGAUGAUAAGUUACGCAACAACAACCUCGCCAAAGUUUCGAAAAACAACCGAUUUUCUUCAAAGGAAUGUUGCAACCACUAAAAGUACGAUUGAGCAUUUAUAAAAACAAAAAAAAAUAUCUUUAUUUAGUCCAGAAAAAAAAACAUUCAAAGCUCAUCAAAAUUGGAGAGGAACACUUUCAUGGAUUUUCUUAUCGGGACGUGCCGGUCUUAGCCUGGCCGGUCUUCUACCGCCGCGUUGCGCCAAUCGCACCAGGGCGGCACCCUCGUGUAA